rnacentral:RNase_P_RNA from 1 species
UGAGUCAGCUGGGCAAUUGCUGUCUGAUUUACUUUGCAUUUCGCUUGGCGAUUUAUGAGGUGGCAGAUAGAGGAAAGUCCGGGCUCCAAAGAGCAGAGUGCCAGGUAACGCCUGGGGGGUGCGAACCUACGGCUAGUGCAACAGAAAACAAACCGCCUCCGAUCGAGAUCUCUGAUUUAUAUCGAAGGUAAGGGUGAAAUGGUGCGGUAAGAGCGCACCGCAUGGCUGGUAACAGACCAUGGCUAGGUAAACCCCACUCGGAGCAAGGCCAAAUAGGAAUCUGUUAAUGCUGCUCGCAUUGGAUUCGGGUAGGCCGCUUGAUGCCUGCGGUGACGCGGGUUGCAGAUGAAUAAUUGUCCUCGACAGAACCCGGCUUAUAGGCUGACUCUUUAU